GACGAACGCUGGCGGCGUGCCUAAUACAUGCAAGUAGAACGCUGAAGGAGGAGCUUGCUUCUCUGGAUGAGUUGCGAACGGGUGAGUAACGCGUAGGUAACCUGCCUGGUAGCGGGGGAUAACUAUUGGAAACGAUAGCUAAUACCGCAUAAGAGUAGAUGUUGCAUGACAUUUGCUGGAAAGGUGCAAUUGCAUCACUACCAGAUGGACCUGCGUUGUAUUAGCUAGUUGGUGGGGUAACGGCUCACCAAGGCGACGAUACAUAGCCGACCUGAGAGGGGGAUCGGCCACACUGGGACUGAGACACGGCCCAGACUCCUACGGGAGGCAGCAGUAGGGAAUCUUCGGCAAUGGACGGAAGUCUGACCGAGCAACGCCGCGUGAGUGAAGAAGGUUUUCGGAUCGUAAAGCUCUGUUGUAAGAGAAGAACGAGUGUGAGAGUGGAAAGUUCACACUGUGACGGUAUCUUACCAGAAAGGGACGGCUAACUACGUG
rnacentral:rRNA from 1 species